GGUCUGAGAGGAUGACCAGCCACACUGGAACUGAGACACGGUCCAGACUCCUACGGGAGGCAGCAGUGGGGAAUAUUGCACAAUGGGCGCAAGCCUGAUGCAGCCAUGCCGCGUGUAUGAAGAAGGCCUUCGGGUUGUAAAGUACUUUCAGCGGGGAGGAAGGUGUUGUGGUUAAUAACCACAGCAAUUGACGUUACCCGCAGAAGAAGCACCGGCUAACUCCGUGCCAGCAGCCGCGGUAAUACGGAGGGUGCAAGCGUUAAUCGGAAUUACUGGGCGUAAAGCGCACGCAGGCGGUCUGUCAAGUCGGAUGUGAAAUCCCCGGGCUCAACCUGGGAACUGCAUUCGAAACUG
rnacentral:rRNA from 11 species